rnacentral:rRNA from 1 species
AGUUGGAAACGACUGCUAAUACCGCAUAACGUAUCGGGAUGGCAUCUUCCUGAUACCAAAGAUUUUAUCGCUUAGAGAUGGGCUCGCGUCUGAUUAGAUAGUUGGCGGGGUAACGGCCCACCAAGUCGACGAUCAGUAGCCGGACUGAGAGGUUGAACGGCCACAUUGGGACUGAGACACGGCCCAGACUCCUACGGGAGGCAGCAGUGGGGGAUAUUGGACAAUGGGGGCAACCCUGAUCCAGCGACGCCGCGUGAGGGAAGAAGGUUUUCGGAUUGUAAACCUCUGUUGACGGAGAAAAAAAUGAUGGUAUCCGUUUAGAAAGCCACGGCUAACUACGUGCCAGCAGCCGCGGUAAUAC